AUUGAACGCUGGCGGCAUGCUUUACACAUGCAAGUCGAACGGCAGCGCGGGCUUCGGCCUGGCGGCGAGUGGCGAACGGGUGAGUAAUGCAUCGGAACGUGCCCAGUAGUGGGGGAUAGCCCGGCGAAAGCCGGAUUAAUACCGCAUACGACCUGAGGGUGAAAGCGGGGGAGCGAAAGGCCUCGCGCUAUUGGAGCGGCCGAUGUCGGAUUAGCUAGUUGGUGGGGUAAAGGCUUACCAAGGCGACGAUCCGUAGCUGGUCUGAGAGGACGACCAGCCACACUGGAACUGAGACACGGCCCAGACUCCUACGGGAGGCAGCAGUGGGGAAUUUUGGACAAUGGGGGCAACCCUGAUCCAGCCAUGCCGCGUGCGGGAAGAAGGCCUUCGGGUUGUAAACCGCUUUUGUUCGGGAAGAAAUCCUCUGGGCUAAUACCCCGGGGGGAUGACGGUACCGGAAGAAUAAGCACCGGCUAACUACGUG
rnacentral:rRNA from 1 species